GACGAACGCUGGCGGCGUGCUUAACACAUGCAAGUCGAACGGAAAGGCCUCUUUCGGGGGGUACUCGAGUGGCGAACGGGUGAGUAACACGUGAGUAACCUGCCCUUGACUUUGGGAUAACUUCAGGAAACUGGGGCUAAUACCGGAUAGGAGCUCCUGCUGCAUGGUGGGGGUUGGAAAGUUUCGGCGGUUGGGGAUGGACUCGCGGCUUAUCAGCUUGUUGGUGGGGUAGUGGCUUACCAAGGCUUUGACGGGUAGCCGGCCUGAGAGGGUGACCGGCCACAGUGGGACUGAGAUACGGCCCAGACUCCUACGGGAGGCAGCAGUGGGGAAUAUUGCACAAUGGGUGGAAGCCUGAUGCAGCAACGCCGUGUGCGGGAUGACGGCCUUCGGGUUGUAAACCGCUUUCGCUCAUGACGAAGCUUUGUGUGACGGUAGUGGGUAAAGAAGCACCGGCUAACUACGUG
rnacentral:rRNA from 1 species